rnacentral:rRNA from 1 species
UUAAGCGACUAAGCGUACACGGUGGAUGCCCUGGCAGUCAGAGGCGAUGAAGGACGUGCUAAUCUGCGAUAAGCGUCGGUAAGGUGAUAUGAACCGUUAUAACCGGCGAUUUCCGAAUGGGGAAACCCAGUGUGAUUCGUCACACUAUCAUUAACUGAAUCCAUAGGUUAAUGAGGCGAACCGGGGAACUGAAACAUCUAAGUACCCCGAGGAAAAGAAAUCAACCGAGAUUCCCCCAGUAGCGGCGAGCGAACGGGGAGCAGCCCAGAGCCUGAAUCAGUGUGUGUGUUAGUGGAAGCGUCUGGAAAGGCGCGCGAUACAGGGUGACAGCCCCGUACACAAAAAUGCACAUGCUGUGAGCUCGAUGAGUAGGGCGGGACACGUGGUAUCCUGUCUGAAUAUGGGGGGACCAUCCUCCAAGGCUAAAUACUCCUGACUGACCGAUAGUGAACCAGUACCGUGAGGGAAAGGCGAAAAGAACCCCGGCGAGGGGAGUGAAAAAGAACCUGAAACCGUGUACGUACAAGCAGUGGGAGCACAGAGCAAUCUGUGUGACUGCGUACCUUUUGUAUAAUGGGUCAGCGACUUAUAUUCUGUAGCAAGGUUAACCGAAUAGGGGAGCCGAAGGGAAACCGAGUCUUAACUGGGCGUUAAGUUGCAGGGUAUAGACCCGAAACCCGGUGAUCUAGCCAUGGGCAGGUUGAAGGUUGGGUAACACUAACUGGAGGACCGAACCGACUAAUGUUGAAAAAUUAGCGGAUGACUUGUGGCUGGGGGUGAAAGGCCAAUCAAACCGGGAGAUAGCUGGUUCUCCCCGAAAGCUAUUUAGGUAGCGCCUCGUGAAUUCAUCUCCGGGGGUAGAGCACUGUUUCGGCAAGGGGGUCAUCCCGACUUACCAACCCGAUGCAAACUGCGAAUACCGGAGAAUGUUAUCACGGGAGACACACGGCGGGUGCUAACGUCCGUCGUGAAGAGGGAAACAACCCAGACCGCCAGCUAAGGUCCCAAAGUCAUGGUUAAGUGGGAAACGAUGUGGGAAGGCCCAGACAGCCAGGAUGUUGGCUUAGAAGCAGCCAUCAUUUAAAGAAAGCGUAAUAGCUCACUGGUCGAGUCGGCCUGCGCGGAAGAUGUAACGGGGCUAAACCAUGCACCGAAGCUGCGGCAGCGACACUAUGUGUUGUUGGGUAGGGGAGCGUUCUGUAAGCCUGUGAAGGUGUACUGUGAGGUAUGCUGGAGGUAUCAGAAGUGCGAAUGCUGACAUAAGUAACGAUAAAGCGGGUGAAAAGCCCGCUCGCCGGAAGACCAAGGGUUCCUGUCCAACGUUAAUCGGGGCAGGGUGAGUCGACCCCUAAGGCGAGGCCGAAAGGCGUAGUCGAUGGGAAACAGGUUAAUAUUCCUGUACUUGGUGUUACUGCGAAGGGGGGACGGAGAAGGCUAUGUUGGCCGGGCGACGGUUGUCCCGGUUUAAGCGUGUAGGCUGGUUUUCCAGGCAAAUCCGGAAAAUCAAGGCUGAGGCGUGAUGACGAGGCACUACGGUGCUGAAGCAACAAAUGCCCUGCUUCCAGGAAAAGCCUCUAAGCAUCAGGUAACAUCAAAUCGUACCCCAAACCGACACAGGUGGUCAGGUAGAGAAUACCAAGGCGCUUGAGAGAACUCGGGUGAAGGAACUAGGCAAAAUGGUGCCGUAACUUCGGGAGAAGGCACGCUGAUAUGUAGGUGAAGUCCCUCGCGGAUGGAGCUGAAAUCAGUCGAAGAUACCAGCUGGCUGCAACUGUUUAUUAAAAACACAGCACUGUGCAAACACGAAAGUGGACGUAUACGGUGUGACGCCUGCCCGGUGCCGGAAGGUUAAUUGAUGGGGUCAGCGCAAGCGAAGCUCUUGAUCGAAGCCCCGGUAAACGGCGGCCGUAACUAUAACGGUCCUAAGGUAGCGAAAUUCCUUGUCGGGUAAGUUCCGACCUGCACGAAUGGCGUAAUGAUGGCCAGGCUGUCUCCACCCGAGACUCAGUGAAAUUGAACUCGCUGUGAAGAUGCAGUGUACCCGCGGCAAGACGGAAAGACCCCGUGAACCUUUACUAUAGCUUGACACUGAACAUUGAGCCUUGAUGUGUAGGAUAGGUGGGAGGCUUUGAAGUGUGGACGCCAGUCUGCAUGGAGCCGACCUUGAAAUACCACCCUUUAAUGUUUGAUGUUCUAACGUUGACCCGUAAUCCGGGUUGCGGACAGUGUCUGGUGGGUAGUUUGACUGGGGCGGUCUCCUCCUAAAGAGUAACGGAGGAGCACGAAGGUUGGCUAAUCCUGGUCGGACAUCAGGAGGUUAGUGCAAUGGCAUAAGCCAGCUUGACUGCGAGCGUGACGGCGCGAGCAGGUGCGAAAGCAGGUCAUAGUGAUCCGGUGGUUCUGAAUGGAAGGGCCAUCGCUCAACGGAUAAAAGGUACUCCGGGGAUAACAGGCUGAUACCGCCCAAGAGUUCAUAUCGACGGCGGUGUUUGGCACCUCGAUGUCGGCUCAUCACAUCCUGGGGCUGAAGUAGGUCCCAAGGGUAUGGCUGUUCGCCAUUUAAAGUGGUACGCGAGCUGGGUUUAGAACGUCGUGAGACAGUUCGGUCCCUAUCUGCCGUGGGCGCUGGAGAACUGAGGGGGGCUGCUCCUAGUACGAGAGGACCGGAGUGGACGCAUCACUGGUGUUCGGGUUGUCAUGCCAAUGGCACUGCCCGGUAGCUAAAUGCGGAAGAGAUAAGUGCUGAAAGCAUCUAAGCACGAAACUUGCCCCGAGAUGAGUUCUCCCUGACUCCUUGAGAGUCCUGAAGGAACGUUGAAGACGACGACGUUGAUAGGCCGGGUGUGUAAGCGCAGCGAUGCGUUGAGCUAACCGGUACUAAUGAACCGUGAGGCUUAACCU